UACGAAGGGGGGCUAGCGUUGCUCGGAAUCACUGGGCGUAAAGCGCACGUAGGCGGAUCUUUAAGUCAGGGGUGAAAUCCUGGAGCUCAACUCCAGAACUGCCUUUGAUACUGGGGGAUCUCGAGUCCGGAAGAGGUGAGUGGAACUCCGAGUGUAGAGGUGAAAUUCGUAGAUAUUCGGAAGAACACCAGUGGCGAAGGCGGCUCACUGGUCCGGUACUGACGCUGAGGUGCGAAAAGCGUGGGGAGCAAACAGG
rnacentral:rRNA from 1 species